AGUGAACGCUGGCGGUAGGCCUAACACAUGCAAGUCGAACGGCAGCACAGUAAGAGCUUGCUCUUACGGGUGGCGAGUGGCGGACGGGUGAGGAAUACAUCGGAAUCUACUUUUUCGUGGGGGAUAACGUAGGGAAAGUUACGAUAAUACCGCAUACGACCUACGGGUGAAAGCAGGGGAUCUUCGGACCUUGCGCGAUUGAAUGCGCCGAUGUUGUAUUUGCUGGUUGGGGGGGUAAAGGCCCACCAAGGGGACGAUCGGUAGCUGGUCUGAGAGGAGGGUCGGCCACACUGGAAGUGAGACACGGUCCAGGCUCCUACGGUAGGGAGCAGUGGGGAAUAUUGGACAAUGGGCGCAAGCCUGAUCCAGCCAUACCGCGUGGGUGAAGAAGGCCUUCGGGUUGUAAAGACGUUUUGUUGGGAGAGAAAAGCAGCAGGUUAAUACCCCGCUGUUCUGACGGUACCCAAAGAAUAAGCACCGGCUAACUUCGUG
rnacentral:rRNA from 1 species